rnacentral:lncRNA from 1 species
AGAGAAAAUAUUUUAAUUUGUUUGGUUACUCCAACUUAGGCUUAAAUCAAAAAAUUUGAAAACAUGGUGAAGAUUACGGUCAAAAUAGCAUUUGUCAUGAUCUUUUUUGCUUUGAUGGCCACUAAUGGUAUUUUCUUUCUCAUCUUCUAUGUAUUUUCUUUUUCUUUUCUAAAAAAAUUUGUUAAUUAUUUUCUUUCAAUCUCCAAAUUGAGGUCACAAAAAAGAAUUCUAGUAUGGUAUUACAUUUUAAAGCCAACUCAAUUUUGGUUGAUAAAAUGUGUUUGUAUUUUCUUUUUUUCUCUCUAAAGCAAUAAAAACAUGCUUUUACUUAAACAAACAACGUGGAUCCUUUUUAGAAUAUAUAUAAGAGAUUUUUAAUGAAAUAUUUUUUAAAACACUGUCUUUUAAGAAUAAAAUUAUUUUUCUAAUAAAAAUAUUUUCCAAAAAAAAAACAUUUUAAAAGUCAAUCCAGAUACAUCCAUUUUUUUUUCUUCUUCUUCUUCUUUAUUUUGUAAAUUUUCUACGAUAUUCUAAAUAUAUUAUGUAUGACACUUUUUUCUUUUUUUCUUUUUUCAUUUUUUUGUAGGAUUUGCUCUCCAAAAAACACCAACAAACAUGGAGCUUCAAAAAAAUAAUUGCCCUCGCCAUGGUUGCAAUUUUUGGCCUGGUGGUUGCGAUUUUUUUAUAAAUACUUGUGCUCCAUUUUUUCCUGUGUGUGAGAAUGGUUGUUGUACCUGUAGAGGGCCGCCGAACAAUGUAAAAACAAAACAAGAACGCCACAUUCGCAUAGACGGUGAAAAACAAAAUUAGUAGGUGCAUACCAUUACAAAUAAUGUAAUAUUAGUCAACAUAUAUU